UCGGAUGGCCCUGUUGCAGGACUAAAGACCGCUUUCUAAUCCAUUGAUCUUCGGAUUAAUAUUCAUAACAUCUGGCCUCAAAUCAGGUAGGACUACCCGCUGAACUUAAGCAUAUCAAUAAGCGGAGGAAAAGAAACUAACAAGGAUUCCCCUAGUAACGGCGAGUGAAGCGGGAAGAGCUCAAAUUUGAAAUCUGGUAGCCUUCGGUUGCCCGAGUUGUAAUCUAGAGAAGUGUUUUCCGCGUUGGCCCAUGUACAAGUCCCUUGGAACAGGGCGUCAUAGAGGGUGAGAAUCCCGUCCUUGACAUGGACCCCCAAUGCUUUGUGAUACACUUUCAACGAGUCGAGUUGUUUGGGAAUGCAGCUCAAAAUGGGUGGUGAAUUCCAUCUAAAGCUAAAUAUUGGCGAGAGACCGAUAGCGAACAAGUACCGUGAGGGAAAGAUGAAAAGCACUUUGGAAAGAGAGUUAAACAGUACGUGAAAUUGUUGAAAGGGAAACGAUUGAAGUCAGUCAUGCUCUUUGGAUUAAGCCGUUCUGCGGUGUAUUUCAUUGAGCGGGGUCAACAUCAGUUUUGAUCGCUGGAAAAGGGCAGGAGGAAGGUAGCACUCUCGGGUGAACUUAUAGCCUCUUGUCGUAUACAGUGAUUGGGACUGAGGAACGCAGCAUGCCUUUUGGCCGGGAUUCGUCCACGUACAUG
rnacentral:rRNA from 1 species